AUUGUCGAUAUUGUGUGACUUGAUUUGAUUUUGUAAUUUUUAGAUGGCGUUUGUCGUGUGCCCGGAGCACUGCUUCGAUAAUGAGAGUGCUGCUGGCUCUAACCAUCUCACAAACGGAGGAUUUAUUAACACGGUUUUUAGACGGCGUUUGUUGUUGUAUCCCGAGGAAUGUUUCCAUAACGGAUCGGCCUAUCGGUUCUAACGGACAACUGGAUUUAUUGCGCGGACGGUAUCCGUGGUGCCGCGAUAACGAGUAAGCUAGAGAUUGAUGACGGCAGUCAUCGCUAUUGAAUUUAUUACAAAGACUGUGCUACCAUUGUGGUUCCAGGAUAAUGACUGAGCUAGAGAUUCAUGGCAGUCAUCGUUAUUGGAUUUAUUGCACCGGUAAUUCAUUUUCAUUUGUU